GAGUUUGAUCCUGGCUCAGGACGAACGCUGGCGGCGUGCUUAACACAUGCAAGUCGAACGAUGAAGCCGCUUCGGUGGUGGAUUAGUGGCGAACGGGUGAGUAACACGUGGGCAAUCUGCCCUGCACUCUGGGACAAGCCCUGGAAACGGGGUCUAAUACCGGAUAUGACACGGGAUCGCAUGGUCUCCGUGUGGAAAGCUCCGGCGGUGCAGGAUGAGCCCGCGGCCUAUCAGCUUGUUGGUGGGGUGAUGGCCUACCAAGGCGACGACGGGUAGCCGGCCUGAGAGGGCGACCGGCCACACUGGGACUGAGACACGGCCCAGACUCCUACGGGAGGCAGCAGUGGGGAAUAUUGCACAAUGGGCGCAAGCCUGAUGCAGCGACGCCGCGUGAGGGAUGACGGCCUUCGGGUUGUAAACCUCUUUCAGCAGGGAAGAAGCGAGAGUGACGGUACCUGCAGAAGAAGCACCGGCUAACUACGUGCCAGCAGCCGCGGUAAUACGUAGGGUGCGAGCGUUGUCCGGAAUUAUUGGGCGUAAAGAGCUCGUAGGCGGCUUGUCGCGUCGGAUGUGAAAGCCCGGGGCUUAACCCCGGGUCUGCAUUCGAUACGGGCAGGCUAGAGUUCGGCAGGGGAGAUUGGAAUUCCUGGUGUAGCGGUGAAAUGCGCAGAUAUCAGGAGGAACACCGGUGGCGAAGGCGGAUCUCUGGGCCGAUACUGACGCUGAGGAGCGAAAGCGUGGGGAGCGAACAGGAUUAGAUACCCUGGUAGUCCACGCCGUAAACGUUGGGCACUAGGUGUGGGCGGCAUUCCACGUCGUCCGUGCCGCAGCUAACGCAUUAAGUGCCCCGCCUGGGGAGUACG
rnacentral:rRNA from 1 species